rnacentral:rRNA from 1 species
CCUACGGGAGGCAGCAGUGGGGAAUAUUGCACAAUGGGCGAAAGCCUGAUGCAGCAACGCCGCGUGAGUGAUGAAGGCCUUCGGGUUGUAAAGCUCUGUCUUUGGGGACGAUAAUGACGGUACCAAAGGAGGAAGCCACGGCUAACUACGUGCCAGCAGCCGCGGUAAUA